rfam:Ixodes scapularis strain Wikel colony gcontig_1108379514980, whole genome shotgun sequence.
UCCUCUUUAGCUGAGUUGGUAGAGCGCUCCACUGGAAAUGGAGAGCUCACUGGUUCGAAACCAGGACCAGGCG